GAGUUUGAUCAUGGCUCAGAACGAACGCUGGCGGCAUGCCUCAUACAUGCAAGUCGAACGAGAUCUUCGGAUCUAGUGGCGCACGGGUGAGUAACAUGUGGGAAUCUACCUAAAGGUUCGGAAUAACUGCGGGAAACUGUAGCUAAUACCGGAUGUGUCUGCAAAGAGAAAGAUUUAUCGCCUUUAGAUGAGCCCGCACUAGAUUAGCUAGUUGGUGAGGUAACUGCUCCACCAAGGCUACGAUCAAUAGCUGAUUUGAGAGGAUGAUCAGCCACAUUGGGACUGAGACACGGCCCAAACUCCUACGGGAGGCAGCAGUGGGGAAUCUUGCACAAUGGAGGAAACUCUGAUGCAGCGAUGCCGCGUGAGUGAAGAAGGCCCUUGGGUCGUAAAGCUCUUUCGUCGGGGAAGAAAAUGACUGUACCCGAAUAAGAAGGUCCGGCUAACUUCGUGCCAGCAGCCGCGGUAAUACGAAGGGACCUAGCGUAGUUCGGAAUUACUGGGCUUAAAGAGUUCGUAGGUGGUUGAAAAAGUUGGUGGUGAAAUCCCAGAGCUUAACUCUGGAACUGCCAUCAAAACUUUUCAGCUAGAGUAUGAUAGAGGAAAGCAGAAUUUCUAGUGUAGAGGUGAAAUUCGUAGAUAUUAGAAAGAAUACCAAUUGCGAAGGCAGCUUUCUGGAUCAUUACUGACACUGAGGAACGAAAGCAUGGGUAGCGAAGAGGAUUAGAUACCCUCGUAGUCCAUGCCGUAAACGAUGUGUGUUAGACGUUGGAAAUUUAUUUUCAGUGUCGCAGCGAAAGCGAUAAACACACCGCCUGGGGAGUACGACCGCAAGGUUAAAACUCAAAUGAAUUGACGGGGACCCGCACAAGUAGUGGAGCAUGUGGUUUAAUUCGAAGAUACGCGCAGAACCUUACCGACACUUGACAUGUUCGUCGCGACUCUAAGAGAUUAGAGUUUUCGGUUCGGCCGGACGAAACACAGGUGCUGCAUGGCUGUCGUCAGCUCGUGUCGUGAGAUGUUGGGUUAAGUCCCGCAACGAGCGCAACCCUCACUUUUAGUUGCCAUCAUUAAGUUGGGCACUCUGAAAGAACUGCCAGUGAUAAGCUGGAGGAAGGUGGGGAUGACGUCAAGUCCUCAUGGCCCUUACGUGUUGGGCUACACACGUGCUACAAUGGUAUCUACAACAGGAAGCAAAACUGCGAAGUUAAGCAAAUCCCUAAAAGAUACCUCAGUUCGGAUUGCACUCUGCAACUCGAGUGCAUGAAGCUGGAAUUACUAGUAAUCGUGGAUCAGCGUGCCACGGUGAAUGCGUUCCCGGGUCUUGUACACACCGCCCGUCACACCAUGGGAGUUGGUUCUACCUUAAGGCAAGGUUUCAAACCCUUGACCACGGUAUAGUCAGCGACUGGGGUGAAGUCGUAACAAGGUAACC
rnacentral:rRNA from 1 species